AAGAUUUCCUUCUUGAAGAAUGCCCAGCCUCCUGGGACUCCUUUGCCCUUCAGGACUGCGUCCCAAGUGACUCUGUGACUCUGUCAACCAGUCUCCUAAACAGGCCAAAGUCUGCCCUCUGGAACUCCAAGGGGGUCCUUUAUUGCCUGGAAGUCCUGGAAGUCCUCGGGAGCCUGGAGGACCUGGGGGACCUCGUGAGCCAGGAGAGCCUUUGAGACCUUUGAUUCCAGGUGGCCCAGCUAGGCCCCUGUCUCCGAUCUGACCUUUAAAGCCUGACUUCAACCCACAAUCCACUAAGGCUACGCAGAAAGGGAAUCCCUGGAGUGUGGUGACUGCUGGAUGAGGCCGUCCUCCCAGAAGUGAACAUGG